rnacentral:rRNA from 1 species
AUUGAACGCUGGCGGAAUGCUUUACACAUGCAAGUCGAACGGCAGCACAGACUUCGGUCUGGUGGCGAGUGGCGAACGGGUGAGUAAUGUAUCGGAACGUGCCCAGUCGUGGGGGAUAACGUAGUGAAAAUUACGCUAAUACCGCAUACGAUCUAUGGAUGAAAGCGGGGGAUCGCAAGACCUCGCGCGAUUGGAGCGGCCGAUAUCGGAUUAGGUAGUUGGUGGGGUAAAGGCCCACCAAGCCAACGAUCUGUAGCCGGUCUGAGAGGACGACCAGCCACACUGGAACUGAGACACGGUCCAGACUCCUACGGGAGGCAGCAGUGGGGAAUUUUGGACAAUGGGCGAAAGCCUGAUCCAGCCAUUCCGCGUGCAGGAUGAAGGCCCUCGGGUUGUAAACUGCUUUUGUACAGAACGAAAAGGUUUCUACUAAUACUAGGAGCUCAUGACGGUACUGUAAGAAUAAGCACCGGCUAACUACGUGCCAGCCGCCGCGGUAA